AGCGAACGCUGGCGGCAGGCCUAACACAUGCAAGUCGAACGAAGUCUUCGGACUUAGUGGCGGACGGGUGAGUAACACGUGGGAACGUACCUUUUGGUUCGGAACAACUCAGGGAAACUUGAGCUAAUACCGGAUGAGCCCUUAGGGGGAAAGAUUUAUCGCCGAAAGAGCGGACAGCGUUAGAUUAGCUAGUUGGUGAGGUAAAGGCUCACCAAGGCUACGAUCUAUAGCUGGUCUGAGAGGAUGAUCAGCCACACUGGGACUGAGACACGGCCCAGACUCCGACGGGAGGCAGCAGUGUGGAAUCUUGCGCAAUGGGCGAAAGCCUGACGCAGCCAUGCCGCGUGAAUGAUGAAGGUCUUAGGAUUGUAGAAUUCUUUUACCAGGGACGAUAAUUACGGUACCUGGAGAAAAAGCCCCGGCUAACUUCGUGCCAGCCGCCGCCGUAAGAC
rnacentral:rRNA from 1 species